CCUGAGCUACAACCGCACAUAACAGGUAUAACGUUAGAAGUUUCUAUUUUUGAAAAGAAGUUUGAAAUUAGCUUCAGUGCCUUUUCUGAUAGAACACCUGCAAAUGGCGAGUCUUAGUCUAAUA
rfam:Virgibacillus soli strain PL205 scaffold000034, whole genome shotgun sequence.